GACGAACGCUGGCGGCGUGCUUAACACAUGCAAGUCGAACGGAAAGGCCCUGCUUUUGUGGGGUGCUCGAGUGGCGAACGGGUGAGUAACACGUGAGUAACCUGCCCUUGACUUUGGGAUAACUUCAGGAAACUGGGGCUAAUACCGGAUCGGAGCUCCUGCUGCAUGGUGGGGGUUGGAAAGUUUCGGCGGUUGGGGAUGGACGCGCGGCUUAUGAGCUUGUUGGUGGGGUAGUGGCUUACCCAGGCAUUGACGGGUAGCCGGCCUGAGAGGGUGAACGGCCACAUUGGGACUGAGAUACGGCCCAGACUCCUACGGGAGGCAGCAGUGGGGAAUAUUGCACAAUGGGCGGAAGCCUGAUGCAGCAACGCCGCGUGCGGGAUGACGGCCUUCGGGUUGUAAACCGCUUUCGCCUGUGACGAAGCGUGAGUGACGGUAAUGGGUAAAGAAGCACCGGCUAACUACGUG
rnacentral:rRNA from 1 species